rnacentral:rRNA from 1 species
GCGUAAGCGCACGCAGGCGGUCUGUCAAGUCGGAUGUGAAAUCCCCGGGCUCAACCUGGGAACUGCAUUCGAAACUGGCAGGCUAGAGUCUUGUAGAGGGGGGUAGAAUUCCAGGUGUAGCGGUGAAAUGCGUAGAGAUCUGGAGGAAUACCGGUGGCGAAGGCGGCCCCCUGGACAAAGACUGACGCUCAGGUGCGAAAGCGUGGGGAGCAAACAGGAUUAGAUACCCUGGUAGUCCACGCCGUAAACGAUGUCGACUUGGAGGUUGUGCCCUUGAGGCGUGGCUUCCGGAGCUAACGCGUUAAGUCGACCGCCUGGGGAGUACGGCCGCAAGGUUAAAACUCAAAUGAAUUGACGGGGGCCCGCACAAGCGGUGGAGCAUGUGGUUUAAUUCGAUGCAACGCGAAGAACCUUACCUACUCUUGACAUCCAGAGAACUUUCCAGAGAUGCAUUGGUGCCUUCGGGAACUCUGAGACAGGUGCUGCAUGGCUGUCGUCAGCUCGUGUUGUGAAAUGUUGGGUUAAGUCCCGCAACGAGCGCAACCCUUAUCCUUUGUUGCCAGCGGUUAGGCCGGGAACUCACAGGAGACUGCCAGUGAUAAACUGGAGGAAGGU